rnacentral:rRNA from 1 species
UACGAACCGUGCGAACGUUAUUCGGAAUCACUGGGCGUAAAGGGCGCGUAGGCGGCGCGGAUAGUCGGCGGUGAAAGCCCGGAGCUCAACUCCGGGUCGGCCGUCGAUACUUCCGGGCUUGAGCACUGUAGAGGCAGAUGGAAUUCCGGGUGUAGCGGUGGAAUGCGUAGAGAUCCGGAAGAACACCGGUGGCGAAGGCGGUCUGCUGGGCAGUUGCUGACGCUGAUGCGCGACAGCGUGGGGAGCAAACAGG